rnacentral:rRNA from 1 species
UACGGGGGGGCAAGCGUUGUUCGGAAUUACUGGGCGUAAAGGGCUCGUAGGCGGCCAACUAAGUCGGAUGUGAAAUCCCCGGGCUCAACCCGGGACUGCGUCCGAUACUGGAAGGCUUGAAUCCGGGAGAGGGAUGCGGAAUUCCAGGUGUAGCGGUGAAAUGCGCAGAUAUCGGGAAGAACACCCGUGGCGAAGGCGGCUACUCUCGGGACGGUACUGACGCUGAGACGCGAAAGCGUGGGAGCAA